AGAUAGUCAUUGCAUGGUUUAAUAAAAAUUGUAGGUAGCCAGGAUGGCAAAACGAAAUCUAGAUUUGGUUUUUAAAAAAGUUAAAAAUAGGAGCUCAAUAAAAUACCCCAGCUGCUUUUCUAGUUUCCUUCAAAUUCUACCUGCAGUGAUGGGAAAAAUAACUCCACAUUUGCUUGGAGCCUUGGGGACUUUUAAGAUUUGCAAAAUUUAUUUGUGGAGAGUUAAAGCCCUCUCUUCAUGCUCCUUCCUGUGCUGUUCUCUUCUUUCCCCUGUUCGCUAUCUGAUAAGGGAUUCUGCCUUGGACUUGUCAUGCUGGACACCCCUCAGGACUUCCAGAUUUAUCUAUUCCCAGCUCUCUGGAGAGGCAGCACAUAUAGCAAAAAGAUGAAGCAGCAUCGAGCCACCUAGAGGCAAUCUUAUCCAAGCCUGCCCAGCAAAACAAAGCAAAGUUAUGAGGCUUAUUGCCAUAAUUGUAGAUUAAAUGAAAUUGCUCAAGGAUUGAAAGGAAGAAGUUACCAAUGUACUUGAAUUAAAGGAGUACUAGGGAAGAUGGACCAUUACAAUGAAGCCCUCCGUUUUAAACAAUUCAAGAAGUCUUAAGGGAGGAUGUUGAAGAGACCUGAGCCAGCAUGCACAGUGAUUGAGCCAGGAAGUCUCAGAGUGUCACCGCGGGAUUCCCGUCCACCCACGUUCCACAUGCACUUUGGUACCACCUGAUUGCACUUGCCUACUCUGACUUAAAUAUCAAUGAGGAUCCUCCAUCCUUCAGCUGGCUGGAAUUUCCAAGACAGUGGCCAUGAUUCCAGGACCCUCCCACUUAAAUGGUAUCCAUGUUGUUCACCUGAUCCAAAGAGAUUCAGUCAGAAGACUCCUAGGAGACCUGCUAUCUGUGCCUUAGCUUCCCAAGACCAGAUAAUUUACUAUUUAUCUUCCCUAUCUUGCCCUUGGCAUCGUAUUUCACUCCCCCCAUCUUUGAGAUAAGAACUCUUCAAACUGCAUAGGUCCACCAUGAACAUCAGCCCUGCACAAAACUAUAUUCUCCAUACAAAUUGAUUGUGCAUGCUCUGUUGAUCAAAUAUUCUGGCAUAAAUAUCUGUGUUAUUACUUUCCUUGGGUCUGUCUAUAAGACAUCUUGAAUGAGGACUAAAAGACAUGGAGAGGUGGUGGUGUUUACAGAUGAGAUGCUACUAGAUUCAUAGUACCCAGACUCCCAGUGCCAUUGCCUUUCAAUCCCCAUAUUUUUUUUUAACAGUGUCAGGUGUCUUUCCUCACCCAGAUGAGGGGCUCGAUGUGAUUAUAUCUUCUAUUUCUUCUGUAACCACAUCCCAAUGAGCUUGACCUAAACAUAUUUUUAAAAUGCUUAUCUAAUGCUUCACAUAUAGUUGGUACCAAAUAAAUGUGUGCCUCCUGUGUGACUUUCUCCCUUCCUUCAAAACAUAGGUUCUGAAGCUAAAAUCGCUCUUACUAGAUAAACAACUACCUUGUUGGCAGGCACCAGUGCCUGACAC